rnacentral:rRNA from 1 species
UACGAAGGGAGCUAGCGUUGUUCGGAAUCACUGGGCGUAAAGCGCACGUAGGCGGAUGUGUCAGUCAGGGGUGAAAUCCCGGAGCUCAACUUCGGAACUGCCUCUGAUACAGCAUGUCUUGAGUCCGAUAGAGGUGGGUGGAAUUCCUAGUGUAGAGGUGAAAUUCGUAGAUAUUAGGAAGAACACCGGUGGCGAAGGCGGCCCACUGGAUCGGUACUGACGCUGAGGUGCGAAAGCGUGGGGAGCAAACAGG